rnacentral:antisense_RNA from 1 species
AUUGGAGGAGCUGCUCCCUUCCCCGUUCAGCUGUAAUUGUCUGAAUAUUUAUUUCUCGGCAUUCACUGCAGAACAAGCUGCAAGUGGUGACUCGGACGUGAUCAAGAGGUGACUCGGACGUGAUCAAGAGGUGACUCCGACGUGAUUGCCUUGAAGUUAUGCAUGAAGUAGGAUGACUCACCAAUCUUCGGGGAAUACCGGACUAGAGUGGAUCCCCAUAAAAUGAGUGAAGCCAUAUUAUGAGUUAGAGACUACUGAAAAAGCCUCUCCUGAUGAUGAAGGACCUGUCAUUGGAGAAUCGACCAAAACUGACAGUGAUAACUUGGAAGGCACCUGACAUUACCUGGGGACAGCUAAAGAAACUGGACCAACAGGGAACUAUCUGGGAGCCCCUGCAACUGCAGAGAACCAGUUUCUUAUGUAUCUGAUGGUAAUUGGGGGAGCUUCUGAGAAGGCUUUCCAGAAACAGUUUCCUUUGGAACGCAGCUUUCCAAAUCACUUUAAAGACUGGCUUUCUUCUUGACGUUGGACCUCUCAUCCAGGUCGUCUGUUGUAUUCACUCUCACCUACCUGGGGGUUCAUCCACCAUCUCAUCUCGCUUCACAUUCCAGGGCUCUUUUUCUUUCUCCAGACAGAUGAUGAGGUCUGGCUUAGAGACAGCAAUACCUGUUUUAUUAAAAAUAAUUAACAUGAAUCUUGCUCAUAUUCUCCAAUUACCAACUUAGUAAUGUGCAAAGUAAAAGGGAUAUAAUAGAAUAUUCUAAUAAAUUUAUCCCAUAUACUAAUUUAUAACAGAAAUUUUUAAAUAUUUACAGAAUAUUUUAAUUUUGUAGGUUCUUAAUUUCACUGCCUGGUACUACUGAAGCAAAAAUUGGUAAUGGCACUUGGAUUUUAAGGUGUGAAUAACAAUAUUUUAUGCCACUAAGGUUCUGAAAUUACCACUAAUCUGAAGCGAAAGACACAGAUCAGCUCAGGAAUGUGGAAAUUUCAGGUCAGGAUGAAACAUCUUGAAGAAAUUUUUUCUAAACAGACAAAUCCCCAGGAUUUUCUUGAAAACAGAAACAGGAAAGCAUAAAUUACCAGAAAACAUACUACAAAAGAAAAAUAAAAGCUUUAGUUUAUAUUAAAAAUUUUGUAUUAAAGUUAUCCUCACCCAGGAAGGCCAGGUUUCUGUAGUUCUCUAACAUCACAUUCCUAUAUAAAUUCUUCUGUGCAGUGUCCAGGCACUGCCACUCCUCCAGAGAGAAUUCUAUGGCCACAUCCCUAAAUGUCAACAGUCCCUGGAAAAUACACACAAACACACAUAUUUACAAAGUGGCUAUGGGCAGAAUUUUUCAUUUGACUCAAGGUAAAAUCAGAAAGUGAAUAGAAUUGAUUCUAACUUAUAAGAGGGACUGAAAUUAUCCAAUAAAAUAAUUGUCAAAACACAAACAUUUUCUAAUGUAUUCUCUAACUCUGAGAAAAGAGACUGGCAUAAUAUCGAGAACAUCAGUGUAUAUAUGAUACUUUUCUGAAUGAUAAAGUGUAAAAAUGUACUAACAUGUACAUUUUUGAGUGCAGUAUUUACAUAAU